rnacentral:lncRNA from 1 species
CUUGGUCUGUCCACGCUAUACAAUAAAAUGUGAGGGAGAAAAUAGAUUGCCUUGUAAAAACAUUGCCAAGAGAUUUCAAAGAUAUUUUCAACUAUAUGAGAUCCAAAUGGCCCAUAAGCAAUCUGGCAAAUGUUUGGCCCGUUCUAAUCAUUUUUGAGUGGACUCACAGCAAAGCCUCAGUGGGAAGAACCUGUGACUUUGCACUGAGUGAGGCAGUAGGUGGAGAGUGUAAUAGAAGAGGCUCACGUAAAGGUAAAUAUUCGGAACAAGGUGAUUCUGGGAUAGAGUCAGAGCUUGGAUGUGCUCCCUCUGUGUGUAUGAGGAAGAUUCUGUCCUGCUGGGAAGGGAUACAGGAUAAAGAAGACUGAGUGGAAUCUUAAGUCCUGGUGGAACAGGGAACACACUUUCUGGCAGCAGGAUUAAAUGAUGAAUUAUUAGAGAUACAAUUGAGUCUGAAAGCAGAAGAAAUGAAAUUCCAAUCCUAAUAAGAUAGUGAUAGUACUCAGCUUACACGCCAAGUACAAUGGAAUUCUUUGUGCCAGGGAUGUCCUAGCAUUUUGUGCCUUUCUCUACUCACUGUCCCCAUCUCUUGUAUAGUGUUUUAUUAACAAACAUAUGUUCCUUAGGUUUUCUUGUAGGUUGUACAUUACUGCUAAAGUGAUUUAAAUGGGAAGGAAUGCACACACCAUCGCCUUGAUAAUUACUGACUGACUUAAAAAGGGGUCAGUGUUCCCAGGGUGGUGCUGGGUAACUCUAGGACCUGUGCCUCCACAGUUGGAAAGCCUUGUUCCUGCUGUUGAGCUCAUUUGCUUCUCAUGUGCUCAGUGUGAGCUUCUACCCAUGUCGAGCUACUCACUGUGAAUAUUUAAGAGAACGUGCUCUUACUUUCAAAAUUGUCAGCUUGCUAGUUGUCUUAAUACGUGAGUGUUCCUAAGCCUUCAACACCUCUAAAACAGGCUCAUAUAUAUCAUAAAUGAUGGCGGAGACUCACGUUCAUCAUGAGUCGGGUAGUUACCAUCUUGAGUGUCGUACUGUCUAUACUUGGGUUGUGGGAAUCCAUCUCAAGUACACACUUGUAACUAAUACCAUAGAUGUUACUCAGGCAUCUUAUUAGCUUGCUAAAUUCUUGUUUCUUAAAAUCCUGCUUUUGAUUCUUAUUUAUGGGAUAUAUUCUGAAAAGGGCCAUUGUAAAUGAUGUGUUAUAAUUUAUUUUAAUUAGGAUCUCCACUUAUGGCUAGCCAUGUGUGAGGGAACAUUUAUACCAUCUGUCCUAGUGCUGAUAGCUUCCAGAGGAACAGCUGGGCUGUGAGACUUGUGUUCAGCCUGACAAAGCCAGGGUCUGAUUUUGUGGAGCUAAUAAGGUGGACAGUAACUUCAAACAUUUUGUUACUUCACUGCCUGUAAGCCAAAUCUGAAAGGAGUCUUACAAGUUUUUGAAGUCUAUGAAAAACAUUCAAGGAGCUGGAUGAAAAUGCUGUAUAUUCUAUAUAGGUUAUUCUGGAAUACUUAAAGAAGCAGCAAUGUGUUGUAUAUGUUUGUGUGUCUCUUAAGUAUGUGUCCUCGUGUACUGCAUAGCACAUAAACAAAAAGAAUUGUUCAUUUCAUGUAAUAAUAGAAGCUAUCAUGGACAGUGAGGCAUGUGCCCAUUAAAUUUUUAGCAUGGUUACCAGGGCAGUUGUUGUCCCAGCUCCUUGAGGGCAGAGGCAGAAGAACUGCUCAGGCCCAGGCCUUGAGGCUAGGCCAUGCAACAUAGUGAGUCCCAGCCUCCAAAAGCAGAGGUGCUCAGGGAAAAUGUUUUUAACUUACUAUAUACUUAGCAUCUACCCUGUUCAUUUAAGCAUAUAACAGAUAGAAAUGGUGGGCAUUGUUGUGGUUGGCAUAGCAUCUCACUUUGUAGAUCAGGCUGCCUUGGAAUUAUGAUCCCCCUGCAUCAGCCUCUUGAGUGCUGGGAUAAUAGGUGCAUACCACAGCACCUGGUAACAGUGAUGACUUUAAAUGAUAAUAUAUUGAGAUAUACAAGAUUCAUGUAAAAGAAACUGUUUUAUACUUGGCAAACCCAAACUAUUUUCAAAUGUUGAGUUCUGUUAUUGUCCAGAACUUUGUAAUUAGAGGUAAACACAGUGAUUCCAUGCUCAGGUAAAUUCUAUCUAGUAAGAUGAACAGAGAGAGAAACAAAGAAACCUACAGCAUGUUCCCCUUCCUACUGCUUUAUAACAUAAUAUAAAACAAAAUGUCUUUAAGACCUAAAAUCCACACUUUCAUUCACAUCUCUCAAAUAAUCAGGAAACAUGUGUGCCUUUUAUAUAUUGGACUUUAAGUUACAGAGAAGGGAGCCUACAAGUCAGAUGAAAACACUGAACUCCAUGCAGGUUAUUGAGCUCAUUUGUAUGUUAGGGGCAUCUUGCAUGUCUGCAGCUGCCCAAAGUUAAUCUUACCAUUCCUCACGAUCCUGUGACUUGGCCUUUGAGGAAAGAAUGUUUAAUCCAGCACCAUGCUGCCUUCAUACCACAAAUUCAUAACUGUGAGUAAAACUGUUAGCAAACCCUCCUUCCCUGCAGCUUGGGGACAGCCAUAAUGUGGCUUUUCAUCAUGGGAUUGUGAAGCCCUCACUGGCUCUGCAGAACUGCUCAGGUUGAUAAAUUGCCUGUGUAUAUAUGUAGAAUACUGUUCUCUGAGCAUGAUAGCCAUCAACUCCUUCAGAGCAGCUCUGGUUCUUUGCUUCUGGACUGUUGAUGUUCCCUAUAGAAGGGGGGAAGGGGGCCUUAUUGGACCAUUCCCUCCUAUACUUUCCAGUCAGCUGUGUAUUAUUCUGCCCUGAUUUCAUAUGGAUUCCUGAUCUGGGGAACACUAGCGUAUACAUACUGUGGAAGGUUAAUAGAUGGUGUCUGACUUCCAUUAUUUUGCAAUCGGGAGGAAAGUGAGACUUUUCCACGGUAUAGCUGCUUUUGGGUCACUUUUGUACCUGUAAUUGACCCCAAUACAUUCAUGCAUUCACCAAAGUAAGCUGGUUUGUGGGGGAAGUGUGUUUAUGUCUCCCCAUGGAGAGAGUUUCUGCAACAUUGGAUGGAGGUGGCAGUAUUCAACAGAACGAAAGAUAAGUUUGGGAAGAGCAGUGGCAUUUUCUUGUUAUCAGUUUUAGACAGCUGAAACUAUGCUGUCUGAGGGUAGAUAAUCUAUAGCAGGUAUUAGAUAUGAAAUCUCCCCAUCUGGUGUGGAAUAUUAGGUCAGUCUCUUUAUUGUAGUCACUGGAAGGUAACUGUUUGAGAGGCCAGAGUGACUACACAGAGGAACUUUCAUGUAUAAAGGCAAAACUACAGGGGGACACGCAGCUAUAGUCCUUCACUCUAGCCUGUUGUUUCAAAAGGAAACUGGGGGAAAAAAGUGGGAGGAUAAAAUGGAAGUGUUGGCUUGCACAUAUUAAACGUAGAGGACACUCAAAGCUUGAAGAGAUUACAGAUCUCCAUUCAAGAAGCCCUCC